CAAAAUUUUUCUUCUGACGCAGCAAGACGCCGACUCAGGGCAGGAAGAAGGGAGGAAAGUCCGAGCACUAGGAGGAAAGAAUAACACCUAACAGAUGUGGUCCUCAUACCCAAUAAGGUGAGGAUACGGAAAGUGCCACAGAGACAAUACGAGCCGCGCCCACAUCCGCCCAGCGGAAUAUGGCGUGGCAAAAGGUGAAAAGCCCCGUAAGUCGCAAGACCGGGGCGUCAACUCAACCCUUAGGGGAAGAGAUGACGUGGUAAACCCUAUUCAGUGCAAGGUGGGAUGGCAACAAUGGACUAAUGUGGUUCCUUACCCGCCCAACGUUGCCCACCGCGCGAGGCGAUGCGCGAGCAUCGCCCAAGAGAGAUGAUCGCAAUCCGCAAGGAUACAGAACUCGGCUUAUGAUCC
rnacentral:RNase_P_RNA from 1 species